rnacentral:rRNA from 1 species
GACGAACGCUGGCGGCGUGCUUAACACAUGCUAGUCGAACGGAAAGGCCCUGCUUUUGUGGGGUGCUCGAGUGGCGAACGGGUGAGUAACACGUGAGUAACCUGCCCUUGACUCUGGGAUAACUUCAGGAAACUGGGGCUAAUACCGGAUAGGAGCCCCUGCUGCAUGGUGGGGGUUGGAAAGUUUCGGCGGUUGGGGAUGGACUCGCGGCUUAUCAGCUUGUUGGUGGGGUAGUGGCUUACCAAGGCUUUGACGGGUAGCCGGCCUGAGAGGGUGACCGGCCACAUUGGGACUGAGAUACGGCCCAGACUCCUACGGGAGGCAGCAGUGGGGAAUAUUGCACAAUGGGCGGAAGCCUGAUGCAGCAACGCCGCGUGCGGGAUGACGGCCUUCGGGUUGUAAACCGCUUUCGCCUGUGACGAAGCGUGAGUGACGGUAAUGGGUAAAGAAGCACCGGCUAACUACGUG